rnacentral:rRNA from 1 species
GACGAACGCUGGCGGCGUGCUUAACACAUGCAAGUCGAACGGAAAGGCCCUGCUUUUGUGGGGUGCUCGAGUGGCGAACGGGUGAGUAACACGUGAGUAACCUGCCCUUGACUUUGGGAUAACUUCAGGAAACUGGGGCUAAUACCGGAUAGGAGCUCCUGCUGCAUGGUGGGGGUUGGAAAGUUUCGGCGGUUGGGGAUGGACUCGCGGCUUAUCAGCUUGUUGGUGGGGUAGUGGCUUACCAAGGCUUUGACGGGUAGCCGGCCUGAGCGGGUGACCGGCCAAAUUGGGACUGGGGUUCGGCCCAGACUCCUACGGGAGGCAGCAGGGGGGAAUAUUGCACAAUGGGCGGAAGCCUGAUGGAGGAACGCCGCGUGGCGGAUGACGGCCUUCGGGUUGUAAACCGCUUUCGCCUGUGACCAAGCGUGAGUGACGGUAAUGGGUAAAGAAGCACCGGCCAACUACGUG